UUUUCGCAAUGCCCGAAAGGGUGACGAAGCGACGCCGCGUGGGUGAGGAAGGCCCUCGGGUUGUAAAGCCCUGUCAGGAGUUAAGAAAUGUAGGUACGCUAAUAUCGUACUUAUUUGACAAAGGCUCCAAAGGAAGCCACGGCUAACUCUGUGCCAGCAGCCGCGGUAAUACAGAGGUGGCAAGCGUUGUUCGGAAUUAUUGGGCGUAAAGAGCACGUAGGUGGAUUUGUAAGUCAGAUGUGAAAGCCUUCUGUUCAACGGGAGAAUUGCAUCUGAAACUACAAACCUUGAGUGUAGGAGGGGAGAAUGGAACUUCUGGUGGAGCGGUGAAAUGCGUAGAUAUCAGAAGGAACGCCGGCGGCGAAAGCGAUUCUCUGGCCUAUUACUGACACUCAGUGUGCGAAAGCUAGGGGAGCAAACGGGAUUAGAUACCCCGGUAGUCCUAGCCGUAAACGAUGGGCACUAAGUAGAGGGGUUUUAA
rnacentral:rRNA from 1 species